rnacentral:tRNA from 1 species
UCCCUGGUGGCUCAGCUGGUGAAGCAUCCGCCUACAAUGUGGGAGAUCCUGGUUUGAUUCCUGGGUAGGGAA